CCUACGGGCGGCAGCAGUGGGGAAUAUUGGACAAUGGGCGAAAGCCUGAUCCAGCCAUGCCGCGUGUGUGAAGAAGGCCUUCGGGUUGUAAAGCACUUUCAGUGGGGAAGAAAGCCUUGGGGCUAAUACCCUCGAGGAAGGACAUCACCCACAGAAGAAGCACCGGCUAACUCCGUGCCAGCAGCCGCGGUAAUACGGAGGGUGCGAGCGUUAAUCGGAAUUACUGGGCGUAAAGCGCGCGUAGGCGGUCUGAUAAGCCGGUUGUGAAAGCUCCGGGCUCAACCUGGGAACGGCAUCCGGAACUGUCAGGCUAGAGUGCAGGAGAGGAAGGUAGAAUUCCCGGUGUAGCGGUGAAAUGCGUAGAGAUCGGGAGGAAUACCAGUGGCGAAGGCGGCCUUCUGGACUGACACUGACGCUGAGGUGCGAAAGCGUGGGUAGCAAACAGGAUUAGAUACCCUUGUAGUC
rnacentral:rRNA from 1 species